CGACGAGUGGCGGACGGGUGAGUAAUGUCUGGGGAUCUGCCUGAUGGAGGGGAUAACCACUGGAAACGGUGGCUAAUACCGCAUAAUGUCGCAAGACCAAAGAGGGGGACCUUAGGGCCUCUCGCCAUGAGAUGAACCCCAGAUGGGAUUAGCCAGCAGGUGAGGUAACGGCUCACCUGGGCGACGAUCCCUAGCUGGUCUGAGAGGAUGACCAGCCACACUGGAACUGAGACACGGUCCAG
rnacentral:rRNA from 1 species